UACUCUGACAGAUGAGAAUUAUAUAAAAGUUGAUGGUGCAAGCUCAGCACAGCUCCAUUUUUUGAAUCUUCACUAGUCAGCAAUGUCAAGACGGUUUGGAAGUGGUCGACAGUGUUGCUUUUAGCUUUAGUGAGCUGUAGCAGCCAAAAUGCUUAUACUGAUAUUUCCUUCCAGUAACAUGGUGUAGGUGUACAGCAUUCCAGCUAAGUUAGCAGGGACCAAAAAAAAAACCCCAGUCAGAACCAUCUGAAGUAAAUAACCUUGUGAGUCAUCUGAUUUUCCUGGAUGAGGAUGAGGACUCUUCUACAGAGGAGAUGUCACUUAACGACAGAGCAGGAAUGCUGCUCCGGCUGCUGCAGUCGGCCACCUGCGUUAUGGUGCAGCAGGAGGAAGUGUGUGAGCAAUGUGUGUUAUAUGUGUCACAUGAUCUCAUGCUGAUGAAGAGGCUUUGGAUGGCUCUGGCAUUGUUCAUUGUGAUCACCGAGGUGUGUGUGUGUUUGUGUAGGUCUGUACGUGUGCACAUGUGUGGGGCUGGACACUGAUCUUAUAUAGUACAUGUGGCCAAUCUAGUCAGCUUACUUCACCGCCUGCACCUGUGAUAUAGAAGGCGAGGUAUGGAAAACAGAGGGGAGAAAAACAUUCAGGGAGGGAGAUGUGUGUGUGUGAGUGAGAGAGAGAGAGAGAGAGCCGAAAGUGUGAUCUGACUUCUGAGGAACUCUACUGGUGAUUCAUGCUGUUACACAUGGAGCGAUUCACUCCCUCUGCAGCUGUGCCGACCACAUGCGCAAUAUGAUUUCACAACAUCUUCCCUGUACUUGGAAAUUCCUUUUUUUCCACGCAGCCCUCUCACCCCCCUUCCCUUCUGUCAGUGUUGUCCUGACAGAGAGGCAGGUGCAUGACUUACUCAUUCUUCUCCACAUUUCACCGAGGCGUCAGUCAGCUCGAAGGGCUUGACCAGACAGCCCUGUCAGAGUCAUAUGUUUAUGAUACAGUAGGCUGCACAGUGCUGCUGCUGCUCCUGAUGGUGUUGUUGUUAUCACUCAGCUUACCACUGCUGGUGUCAACAGCCUGCUGGGAGCACAACUGUCAGCCUGCGAAACUUGAGUGACUCAGCAUUUCUAGUUGUGACCCAGGGGAGCGUCUGUGGGAUCCCACCCAGGAUGACGUGUGUGCGUUGGGGCUGUGAUUCAUCCCACAGCUGCCCCCCUGACCGGCUCCAGCUCUGCAGGAGCAACACCGCCAAAGCUGGGACUGCUGUUUACAACAAACCAGAGCUCGUAGCGGUGGGGGAAGCAAAGCCGCUUUCACACUUGGGAGCCAUAAUGAUACCAUGUUCAAUUAUCCAGUUUUGCAUUUGGCUAGGGUCACUGUCACUUCUGGUAGCAUGAGGCGAUACCUGGACCCUACAGAAGCUGAAGAGGCAGUCAAGCUCCUCUAGGAUGGCACAUCAAUGUGUGCCAUUACCAGAAGGUUUGCUGUGUUGCCCAGCACAUUCUCAAGCGCAUGGAGGAGGUUCCAGGAGUCAAGCAGUUACUCGAGGAGAGCUGGACAGGGCUGCAGAAGGUCCUCAACCCAUCAGCAGGACAGCUAUCUGCUCCUUUGUGCAUGGAGGACCAGGAUGAGCACUGCCAGAGCCCUACAAAAUGGCCUCUAGCAGGCCACUGGUGUGAAUGUCUCUGAUCAAACAAUCAGAAACAGACUUGGGUCUGAGGGUCCAAUGUCCUCUAGUGGGUCCUGUGCUCACUGCCUGACACCGUGGAGCUUGAUUAGCAUUUGCCAUAGAACACAGGAAUUGGUAGGUCUGCCAAUGGUGCCCUUUAGUUUUCACAGAUGAGAGCAGGUUCAGCGUGAGCGCAUGUCACAGACAUGGAAAGGUCUGGAGAAGCCAUGGAGAACGUUAUGCUGCCUGUAACAUGGUUUAGCAUGACUGGUUUGGUGGUGAGUCAGUGAUGGUCUGAGGAGGCAUAUCCAUGGAGGGACGUACAGACCUCUACAGGCUAGAAAACGGCACUCUGACUGCCAUUAGGUAUCAGGAUAAAAUCCUUGGAUCCAUUGUCAGACCCUACACUGGUGCAAUGGUUGUGGAGUCCUUGUUGUGCACGACAAUGCCUGGCCUCAUGUGGCAAGAGGAUGCAGGCACUUCCUGGAGGAUGAAGGAAUUGACAGCAUUGACUGGCCCCAAUACUCACCUGACCUAAAUCCAACAGAACACCUUUGGAACAUUAUGUUUUGUUCCGUCCGACACCACCAGGUUGCUCCUCAGACUGUCCAGGAGCUUAGCGAUGCCCUGGUUCAGAUCUGGGAGGAGAUACCCCAGGACACCAUCCAUCGUCUCAUUCGGAGCUUGUCUCGAUAUUGUCAGGCUGCAUACAAGCAUAUGGAGGUCAUACAAACUACUGAGUACCGUUUUGAGUUGCUGCCAACGAAUUUCCGAAAAUGGACCAGUCUGCCACAUCAGUUUUUCACUUUGAUAUUGGAAUGUCUUGAAUUUAGCCCUCCUGGGGGUUGAUAAUUUUCAUUUCCAUCAAACGAUGUGGCAUCUUUUCAUUCCUAACACAUUAACCAGUCCAUAUCAAUGUAAAUAUCCAGUUUGUUUUUUUCCCCGCAUUAAAAUAUGGUGUGUUUUCAAAGUG